GAUGAACGCUGGCGGCGUGCCUAGUACAUGCAAGUCGAGCGAACGGACGAGAAGCUUGCUUCUCUGAUGUUAGCGGCGGACGGGUGAGUAACACGUGGAUAACCUACCUAUAAGACUGGGAUAACUUCGGGAAACCGGAGCUAAUACCGGAUAAUAUUUUGAACCGCAUGGUUCAAAAGUGAAAGACGGUCUUGCUGUCACUUAUAGAUGGAUCCGCGUUGCAUUAGCUAGUUGGUAAGGUAACGGCUUACCAAGGCAACGAUGCAUAGCCGACCUGAGAGGGUGAUCGGCCACACUGGAACUGAGACACGGUCCAGACUCCUACGGGAGGCAGCAGUAGGGAAUCUUCCGCAAUGGGCGAAAGCCUGACGGAGCAACGCCGCGUGAGUGAUGAAGGUCUUCGGGUCGUAAAACUCUUUUAUUAGGGAAGAACAUAUGUGUAAGUAACUGUGCACAUCUUGACGGUACCUAAUCAGAAAGCCACGGCUAACUACGUG
rnacentral:rRNA from 1 species